rnacentral:rRNA from 1 species
UGCCAGACUCCUACGGGAGGCAGCAGUGGGGAAUAUUGCACAAUGGGGGAAACCCUGAUGCAGCGACGCCGCGUGGAGGAAGAAGGUCUUCGGAUUGUAAACUCCUGUCCUUGGGGACGAUAAUGACGGUACCCAAGGAGGAAGCACCGGCUAACUACGUGCCAGCAGCCGCGGUAAUACGUAGGGGGCAAGCGUUAUCCGGAUUUACUGGGUGUAAAGGGAGCGCAGACGGCAGUGCAAGUCUGGAGUGAAAGCCCGGGGCCCAACCCCGGAACUGCUCUGGAAACUGUGCGGCUAGAGUACUGGAGGGGCAGGCGGAAUUCCUAGUGUAGCGGUGAAAUGCGUAGAUAUUAGGAGGAACACCAGUGGCGAAGGCGGCCUGCUGGACAGUAACUGACGUUGAGGCUCGAAAGCGUGGGGAGCAAACAGGAUUAGAUACCCUUGUA